rnacentral:misc_RNA from 1 species
UCCUAGUUAACCUAGGCAGUCCCACUAGAGUUCCCAUCAUUACAUGUUGGCAACUAGUGGCAAGGGUUGCGCUCGUUGCGGGACUUAACCCAACACCUCACGGCACGAGCUGACGACGGCCAUGCAGCACCUGUGUAACGGCCCUUGCGGGAGAGUGCGUUUCCGCACCUGUCCAUUACAUGUCAAGCCUUGGUAAGGUUCUUCGCGUACCAUCGAAUUAAACCACAUGCUCCACUGCUUGUGCGAGCCCCCGUCAAUUCUUUUGAGUUUCAUACUUGCGUAUGUACUCCCCAGGCGGUGUACUUAUCGCGUUAGCUACGAUACGAACCGGGUUGAGCCGAUCCACAUCAAGUACACAUCGUUUACGGCAUGGACUAC